UUGUUGUUGUUGUUGUUAUUACUUUUUAUCAUAUUUAUCCAUCAGUUAACAUUAUCAACUCUCUAUAUUGUUUUUGUUAUAUACCUGGACCAUACAUGCGUGUCAACAGGACAAUACUUAUAGUGGCUACAUAUGAAUGCAUUAAGUACAUCACAUCAUUAAUUAGCAAACAACUAACAAGUUUUACAAUGCAAAUAAUAAAGGGGAGUCACUGUAUAGUCCUGCCUUCAGUUCUUUACCUCGUCACUGAAGUUGCAACAAUACAUUGAAAUUACAAGCAAAGAAAGUUCCGUUCGCUGCGCCGCUCCAAGACUCGUCCUGCGCUGCUCCGGAACGUGAAUAUAAAGAGCUGAACUUUGUUGUGGCAUAUCCUCUUCGACGACAACAAGGAACUACUGGGCAACAGGUGAACUCACAGCUAGAACUGCACAUUGAAACCCCUGGAAGAAGCACUUUCUUUGCCACAACCAACAGAGGACAUACGGUGGUCGUGGGUGUGGUGUGGCUGGUGUUAGUGGUCGUGGGUGUGGUGUGGCUGGUAUUAGUGGUCGUGAAGGUGUGGUGUGGCUGGUAUUAGUGGUCGUGGGUGUGGUGUGGCUGGUAUUAGUGGUCGUGAAGGUGUGGUGUGGCUGGU